rnacentral:rRNA from 1 species
UAAAGCGUGCGCAGGCGGUUUUGUAAGACUGUCGUGAAAUCCCCGGGCUCAACCUGGGAAUGGCGAUGGUGACUGCAAGGCUAGAGUUUGGCAGAGGGGGGUAGAAUUCCACGUGUAGCAGUGAAAUGCGUAGAUAUGUGGAGGAACACCGAUGGCGAAGGCAGCCCCCUGGGUCAAAACUGACGCUCAUGCACGAAAGCGUGGGGAGCAAACAGGAUUAGAUACCUGGU